UGCUCAUCCAGAGGGGUGGAGGGACCGGCCCUGCGAAGCCCCGGCAACCCUCCCGGUUCAAGACUCGUGAUCUGACGAGGUCGGCCGGGACAGGUGCCAAUUCCGGUCUGUGACCAAGGUGGUCGCAGACGAAGAUGAGGG
rnacentral:ncRNA from 1 species